AUAUACAGCCAUAGCACCCUGAGAAUGCCUGAUCUGGGAAGCUAAGCAGGGUCGGGCCCGGUCAGUACUUGGAUGGGAGACCAGCUGGGAAUCCCGGGUGCUGUGGGCU
rnacentral:rRNA from 1 species